ACUGAACCCCACCACGCCAACCAGAGUCCCGUGCCUCAUGUCACAGUUCAGGUCCCCUGACAUUGUCGCCAUGGAAGAGGACAGCCCUGACAAGCCUGAUGUCACCCGACUGUCCGACAGGACUAACAUCACAGCCUAUGAAAAUUCUGAAGUUGUGUUGCCAUGUGGAGAAAAGUUGACCCAAGUAAA